CCUACGGGAGGCAGCAGUGGGGAAUUUUGGACAAUGGGGGCAACCCUGAUCCAGCCAUGCCGCGUGUGCGAAGAAGGCCUUCGGGUUGUAAAGCACUUUCGGACGGAACGAAAUCGCGCGGGUUAACAGCCCGCGUGGAUGACGGUACCGUAAGAAGGAGCACCGGCUAACUACGUGCCAGCAGCCGCGGUAAUACGUAGGGUGCGAGCGUUAAUCGGAAUUACUGGGCGUAAAGCGUGCGCAGGCGGCGCCGCAAGUCGAGUGUGAAAUCCCCGAGCUUAACUUGGGAAUUGCGCUCGAAACUACGGUGCUGGGGUGUGGCAGAGGGAGGUGGAAUUCCACGUGUGGCGGUGAAAUGCGUAGAGAUGUGGAGGAACACCGAUGGCGAAGGCAGCCUCCUGGGCCAACACUGACGCUCAUGCACGAAAGCGUGGGGAGCAAACAGGAUUAGAUACCCUGGUAGUCCACGCCCUAAAUGAUGAUGACUAGUUGUUGGGGGAGUUAAAUCCCUUAGUAACGCAGCUAACGCGUGAAGUCAUCCGCCUGGGGAGUACGGUCGCAAGAUUAAAACUCAAAGGAAUUGACGG
rnacentral:rRNA from 1 species